UGAGCAAUCUGCCCUUCUCAUCGGAAUAAGCGUUGGAAACGACGUCUAAUGCCGAAUACGACCUCCUUUCGCAUGAUCGGAGGUGGAAAGCUCCGGCGGAGAAGGAUGAGCUCGCGGCCUAUCAGUUAGUUGGUGUGGGUAAUGGCCCACCAAGGCGACGACGGGUAGCCGGCCUGAGAGGGCGACCGGCCACACUGGGACUGAGACACGGCCCAGACUCCUACGGGAGNAG
rnacentral:rRNA from 1 species